rnacentral:lncRNA from 1 species
CUGAGGUGAGAUGGACAGAUAGGGGAGCUGUUGAUGAAAUAACAGGACAAAAAAGAGAAGAGCUCCACCAACAAAUGGACAAAAUGCCACCAGUCUAACAAAACACAGCUCUGUGUGUUCGCCUGGCUGGAGGAGAUGGAGAAGAAGAAAUGAAAUUGGACUUUCUUUUCUGUUUGGAGAAAGCUUGGUCUUGGCUGUGUCUGCUUUCUUCCCUUCUGCGGUGCUCAAUUACUCUGUCUUCCCGGGCCAAGCGCUGGUGUCAAGCUACCCUAAUGACUUUCUGAUUAUCUGUCUUUAACUGAUGAAUGAGAUGGAAAUGCACCACC